rnacentral:misc_RNA from 1 species
AAAUAUCAACCUUGACUUGGGUUUUGUGCUCUAGUCUCGGCUUGGAAUUGGGUGCUUGCCGCUUUUACGAGCGGCUCACCUUAAAUGUAUUAGCUGGAUCUGUCUUUGAGACUUGGUUUGACUUGGCGUAAUAAGUAUUUCGCUAAGGACAUUCUUCGGAGUGGCCUCGUUUCUAGGACGCUUGUCCGCUUUCCAAUACAAGUUCCACCUCGUGGACAUGACUUUUUAUU